rnacentral:misc_RNA from 1 species
AAAGUCGUAACAAGGUUUCCGUAGGUGAACCUGCGGAAGGAUCAUUAACAAGCCUGUGAAGGUCACCUCCCCAAAAAGGAUGGUGAUCUCUCAUCCGGCCACCCUUGUUUACCUUACCUGUUGCUUUGGUGGGCCCGCCAGAAGGCCGCCGGGGGACUUUUUUAGUUCCCGGGCCAGUGCUCACCAGAGUCCCCACUGAACUCUUCCUGAAGUUAUUAUGCUGUCUGAGCAUGUGGAUACAAAAUGUUAAACAAAACUUUCAACAACGGAUCUCUUGGUUCUG